rnacentral:rRNA from 1 species
GAUGAACGCUGGCGGCGUGCCUAAUACAUGCAAGUCGAGCGAACAGAUGAGAAGCUUGCUUCUCUGAUGUUAGCGGCGGACGGGUGAGUAACACGUGGGUAACCUACCUAUAAGACUGGGAUAACUCCGGGAAACCGGGGCUAAUACCGGAUAAUAUUUUGAACCGCAUGGUUCGAUAGUGAAAGACGGUUUCGGCUGUCACUUAUAGAUGGACCAGCGCCGUAUUAGCUAGUUGGUAAGGUAACGGCUGACCAAGGCGACGAUACGUAGCCGACCUGAGAGGGUGAUCGGCGACACUGGAACUGAGACACGGUCCAGACUCCUACGGGAGGCAGCAGUAGGGAAUCUUCCGCAAUGGGCGAAAGCCUGACGGAGCAACGCCGCGUGAGUGAUGAAGGUCUUCGGAUCGUAAAACUCUGUUGUUAGGGAAGAACAAAUUUGUUAGUAACUGAACAAGUCUUGACGGUACCUAACCAGAAAGCCACGGCUAACUACGUGCCAGCAGCCGCCGUAA